GACGAACGCUGGCGGCAUGCCUAAUACAUGCAAGUCGAGCGAACAGAUGAAGUGCUUGCACUUCUGACGUCAGCGGCGAACGGGUGAGUAACACGUAAGGAAUCUACCUAUAAGCGGGGGAUAACAUUCGGAAACGGGUGAUAAUACCGCAUAAUAUUUUCUUCCGCAUGGAAGAAAAUUGAAAGACGGCUCUGCGGUUACUUAUAGAUGACCUUGCGGUGCAUUAGUUAGUUGGUGGGGUAACGGCCUACCAAGACGAUGAUGCAUAGCCGACCUGGGAGGGUGAUCGGCCACAUUGGGACUGAGACACGGCCCAAACUCCUACGGGAGGCAGCAGUAGGGAAUCUUCCGCAAUGGGCGAAAGCCUGACGGAGCAAUGCCGCGUGAGUGAAGAAGGCCUUCGGGUCGUAAAACUCUGUUAUAAGAGAAGAACAAAUUGUAGAGUAACUGCUACAGUCUUGACGGUAUCUUAUCAGAAAGCCACGGCUAACUACGUGCCAGCAGCAGCCGCCG
rnacentral:rRNA from 1 species